rfam:Glossina brevipalpis unplaced genomic scaffold Scaffold42, whole genome shotgun sequence.
GGGGGUAGAUUUAGUACGUAGGCGCCAUGGAUGGCGAAUCGUGCAUGCUACUGGCACGGGCUAAUAGUAUCUAUGAAGAUUUCCACCUCC